AGAUAUUUCUGCUGCAAAUUUCCACUGAUGCUGUCACUUCACUUUGUCUCUUGACCCUCAUCUCAGUUGUUCUGCUACACCAGACCAGAGAGAGAGAAGUUGAAGGAUGUUCAGGUUGUGUCUUGUCCUGGUUCUCAUCCAAGCCUUGGACACGGAGGACAUUAGCCAUCCAAGUCCUCUUCUGCACGCUCAUCUUGGAGACAAUGUGAUUCUGCAAUGCUUCUAUCCGGACAGACAUUCUUAUAUCUCAUGGUACAAGCUAGCAGUAGGACAGAAGCCUCAACUUGUAUCAACAAUUUACAAAUAUGAUGGUGGUGCACAAUUUCACACUGAGUUUAAAGAUAACCCUCGGUUCACAGUGCAACGUGGAAAUGGAUUUUAUCAUCUACACAUCUCCAACACUCAGCCAUCGGACUCCGCCACAUAUGUCUGUGGGGGAAUUAAUGUUAAUGUGAUGGAAUUCAAAAACGGGAUAAUUCUCAUUCUGAAAGGAUCAAGCAAAACUGUUGUACAGCAACCUGUGUCUGAGUCAGUCCAGCCAGGAGACUCUGUGACUCUGAACUGUACAAUACACACUGAGACCUGUGCAGGAGAACACAGUGUCUAUUGGUUUAGACAUGGCUCAGGAGAAUCACCUCCAGAAAUAAUUUACACCAAUGGAGACAGGAGAGAUCAGUGUGAGAAGAGCCCUGAGGCUGGGUCUCCUACACAGAGCUGUGUCUACAACCUCCCCAAGAGGAACCUCAGCCUCUCUGAUGCUGGGACUUACUACUGUGCUGUGGCCUCAUGUGGAGAAAUACUAUUUGGGAAUGGGACCAAGCUGGACAUUGACCGCAAGUGAUAUUUCUGACAUUUCUGAAAAUGUAUAACAUUUCUUCAUAUUGCUAUGAAUAAAUUAUAUGCCUGGAUGAACAAAAUGUCCUGAAUCUCCUCUUUUUUUUCUACAGAUGGUUGUAAGGAGCACCAGGUUCUCUUGGUGUACUCUCUGGGUGUAGCGUUGGCUAUUUGUGUCAUCCUCAUCAUUGUCCUUGGUUGUGUUUUGUAUAAGAUGACCAAGAAAACCUCUCUGCUGUGCGGAGAAACGCACACUCAGUCAAGUGGUCCGGCAGUCCCCGGUUCUCAUAACCAGGAUCGAGAAGAUGAUGACACACUCACAUCGGUCCAUUACGCUGCUCUGAAUGUCAUCCACAAGAAGCCAAAGACCCAGAGACAGAGGAGCACCAUGGAGAGAGACACUGUGUACUCUGGGGUGAGACGCCAAAACAUGGACUGAAACAUCAACUUUUGCUCUUUAAUAACAACUCGCACCGAUUUUGUGGUUUCUACACUGUAUGUGUAACUAUGGCUUUUCAUUGUGUGUUAAAAUUGUAUUCUGUCAAUCUCCUUUUAACAAUGAUACUGUUGUGCAUUUUAGAUCCAAUUAAACAUUAAACUGAUUUCAUAUAGAGAUA